GGAACGCUAAUACCGCAUACGUCCUACGGGAGAAAGUGGGGGAUCUUCGGACCUCACGCUAUCAGAUGAGCCUUAGGUCGGAUUAGCUAGUUGGUGAGGUAAAGGCUCACCAAGGCGACGAUCCGUAACUGGUCUGAGAGGAUGAUCAGUCACACUGGAACUGAGCCACAAUCAAACUCUAAUACGGGAGGCAGCAGUGGGGAAUAUUGGACAAUGGGCGAAAGCCUGAUCCAGCCAUGCCGCGUGUGUGAAGAAGGUCUUCGGAUUGUAAAGCACUUUAAGUUGGGAGGAAGGGCAGUAAGUUAAUACCUUGCUGUUUUGACGUUACCAACAGAAUAAGCACCGGCUAACUUCGUGCCAGCAGCCGCGGUAAUACGAAGGGUGCAAGCGUUAAUCGGAAUUACUGGGCGUAAAGCGCGCGUAGGUGGUUCGUUAAGUUGGAUGUGAAGCUCCGGGCUCACCUGCGACUGCAUCCAAACUGGCGAGCUAGAGUAUGCAGAGG
rnacentral:rRNA from 1 species